rnacentral:misc_RNA from 1 species
UUAAACACUAUCUCACCCUCUAAUUGUAAAUACCAUAUCCCACAUAUUCCUUGGCUCUACUGAAACCAGCUUUUUCCUUUUGCUGCUCUUACAUAAUGUGAUAACCACAUCCAUCUUGCAUCCUAGUAUAACAUGCCACCCAAGAUUGGUAAAAAUUUACAAUUCAAAUUGUACCAAAUCUCAAUGCUGAGAUGAACCAAAAGAAAUAUUUUGAAAGUUCAUAAAGAUAUAAC